GAUGAAGAACGUAGCGAAAUGCGAUAAGUAAUGUGAAUUGCAGAAUUCAGUGAAUCAUCGAAUCUUUGAACGCACAUUGCGCCCGCCAGUAUUCUGGCGGGCAUGCCUGUCUGAGCGUCAUUUCAACCCUCAUGCCCCUAGGGCGUGGUGUUGGGGAUCGGCCAAAGCCGGCGAGGGACGGCCGGCCCCUAAAUCUAGUGGCGGACCCGUCGUGGCCUCCUCUGCGAAGUAGUGAUAUUCCGCAUCGGAGAGCGACGAGCCCCUGCCGUUAAACCCCCAACUUUCCAAGGUUGACCUCAGAUCAGGUAGGAAUACCCGCUGAACUUAAGCAUAUCAAUAAGCGGAGGA
rnacentral:misc_RNA from 1 species